ACAUGAGAGCAUUUAAAAGUGUAUAGCCGUCAGAUCCUCUCUGAUCUCGGAAGCUAAGCAGGGUUGAGCCUGAUUAGUACUUGGAUGGGGACCACCUAGGAAGACCAGGUGCUGUAGGUG
rnacentral:rRNA from 1 species